rnacentral:lncRNA from 1 species
GGAUGAUUUCCGCCACAGGAGGGCUCCUGCGUGGGAAGACAGAAGGUGAGAUAAGGCCUAGCUCUUCACCAGAAGGAGGCUUAGCUGUCCCUCCUCUCCACUGCGGAGAGGGUCCUGUCUUCGCACAGAUGUCUCCGAUUAAAUUGUAUCUCGAGCCCUGACGCUGCUCAGCACUAGAUGAACUGCCAAAAAGGCCGUAGGCAAGAACUAAAUUGCUUUGGUUUCAGUACACAGUGAAUUUGGCCGAGACAAGCUGAAUCAGUACAUUAAAUGCGAAUCCCUCGCAGAUUUGAAAGCAGCCCUUAGCACAAUUAUUGACUGUGAGUGAUGAUUAUGUCUAAUUGAAGGAGACUUCUGCUACCUGUGGCUCGGCUGGAGUCCGCCGCGCUGCGGUGAGCGCUGCCCCUAAUUCA